ACACAAGAGCGAUAACAGCUGGAGAAA
rnacentral:piRNA from 1 species